rnacentral:rRNA from 1 species
CAGUAGCCGCGGUAAUACGAAGGGUGCAAGCGUUACUCGGAAUUACUGGGCGUAAAGCGUGCGUAGGCGGUUCGUUAAGUCUGUUGUGAAAGCCCCGGGCUCAACCUGGGAAUGGCAAUGGAUACUGGCGAGCUAGAGUGUGUCAGAGGAUGGUGGAAUUCCCGGUGUAGCGGUGAAAUGCGUAGAGAUCGGGAGGAACAUCAGUGGCGAAGGCGGCCAUCUGGGACAACACUGACGCUGAGGCACGAAAGCGUGGGGAGCAAACAGGAUUAGAUACCCCAGUAGUCCCUGUCUCUUAUAC